rnacentral:rRNA from 1 species
CUGAGCGGCGGACGGGUGAGUAACGCGUGGGUAACCUGCCUCAUACAGGGGGAUAACAGUUGGAAACGGCUGCUAAUACCGCAUAAGCGCACAGUACCGCAUGGUACCGUGUGAAAAACUCCGGUGGUAUGAGAUGGACCCGCGUCUGAUUAGGUAGUUGGUGGGGUAACGGCCUACCAAGCCGACGAUCAGUAGCCGACCUGAGAGGGUGACCGGCCACAUUGGGACUGAGACACGGCCCAA